rnacentral:rRNA from 1 species
UACGUAGGGGGCAAGCGUUGUCCGGAUUUAUUGGGCGUAAAGAGCGUGUAGGCGGCCAUACAGGUCCGUUGUGAAAACUGGAGGCUUAACCUCCAGACGUCGAUGGAAACCGUAUGGCUAGAGUCCGGAAGAGGAGAGUGGAAUUCCUGGUGUAGCGGUGAAAUGCGUAGAUAUCGAGAGGAACACCUGCGGCGAAGGCGGGUUGCUGGGCUGACACUGACGCUGAUGCGCGAAAGCCAGGGGAGCGAACGGG